GAGCAAAGCUGGAUAGAAGAACUCACACAAUAAUAUCCUCUCUCCUCCUCUGCCUCUUUCCCCCAUUCCUGCUUACUUCCCUCAGGGUUAGCUUCUGCCGGUUUAUGGCAAAGAUGUCUAUACUUAGCACAGCCAAGCCCUCCAGACCAAAGAAAACAUCCUUCAAAGGAGAAAGUAGGGGCUGGAGAAUUGCCACAGUGCAUAGUGAACUUGAAAGUCAGAAUACCUGAGACCCACAGUGGACCGAGACAGUUGACUCUAUAGUUUGUGCUAUGAUUUGUGAGUGCUCUGGGCUGGUGAGGUUUUACUGUCAAUACAAACUAAAGUCAGAAGGAGAGAGCAAUCAUGAAAAAGAAUUGCCUACAUCAGAUUGGGUUAUGGGCAUGUCUUUGGGGGACUGUCCUGGUUGGUGAUUGACACAGGAGGGCCUGGCACACUGCCAGAUGACUCUGCUGUGAAGGAAAGCCAGGUGAGCCUGAGUCAGAAAGCAAUCCAGUAGGCAGCGUUCCACCAUAGUUUCUGCAUCCACUUCCCUCAAUGAUGUCAGCUGAAAUAAACCCUUUCCUUCCCUAAGUUGCUUUGGAUCUUGUAUUUUUAUCACAGCAACAGAAAGGAAAUGCCCCAUCACCACUACCAACACAUCACACACACAUACUAAAUGAUGAUGAUGAUGAUGAUGAUGACGAUGACGACGACGACGUUAUAUGUGGUGGUGUAUGCCUUCAAUACAAGCACUUGGGAGGCAGAAGCAUAUGGAUCUAGGUCAGCCUGAUCUACAAAGUGAGUUCUCUAGGUCAGCCAGAGAUACAUACUGAGAUCCUGUCUCAAAAUAAUUUUUUUAAACUCAAGCAUAGUGUGGUAGCACACGCAUCCUACCACUCAGAAGACUGUGGCAGGAAGGUCAAGAGUCAGAGUCUAGAAGGUCAGGGAGUUUUCUGUGAGACUGUGUCUCCUAGUACUGCCAGAAGCUACACCCAUAGUCUCACCAAUAUGACUGCCUGAAUAUGAGCUGAACCCAGACACCAAAAGACAUGCCAAAGUUGAAGGGCAAAAGACCACAAAGCCUCAACCCCUUCACAAAGAACUACAGACGAGUAAGAAUGCUGGGGGAAGGGGUGUGGUCUUCCCCAGUGAAGAACAUACCAAUGGUCAACCAAUGCCAAGUGCUCAGCCCUGAAAACAUACAUACAAGCAACAGUAUACAGUCACGGCAUAUAUAUAUGGAUGGCACAUAACAAUGAUCAA
rnacentral:lncRNA from 1 species